CGGAAUUUCUUCUCAAGUGGUCUCUGAUCCAGAGAGACACACCCAGCGGCAGCCGUUGACUCCCUCCACCCUUGCUUCCCUCUCAACCAUCUCACCUCCAUCUGUCCAGUGGAGCCAGAUGUCCCACCUUCUUGGGAGAAAUUAAUUGAGGCUCAUUUCCAGGACAGAGGGGCAAGCUGGGUCUGAGGAGCCAAGCAGAAAAACUUCCCAAAAUCACUGGGUGGGGAGGGGUCAGAGACUUACUGCUGCCCCAGCUGUUCUGACUCUGCCCCCAGCUUUUGGCCCCACCCUUUUAAAGCACCUUCAGAGGUUCCCAAUGGUGACAGUAAACAAGUCUCCACUGUCCUGGCCAUCUCUGCUGUGUUCACCCUACUCCUGAUCUUUCUGGCUGCUCAGGGACUGACAGCCAAGAUGUGAGGCUGUGAUGAGCAGGAACAGGGAGGCCUGGAGCCCCCAGCCAUUGUCAUCACUUCCCUGAUCUGCCUAAAUUCUGCCCAGCAGUCCGUGAAAAUGGUUUGCUGAUGACAUAUGUAAGGACUUUAACUCCCCUCAAGCAAUCUGCUCAUCUCAAAGGAUUUGCAAUGAUCAAGAGGCGUCCUGUGAAUGCAGUUUGCAAAGGACUUAGGCACACAGCAUCUCCUUUGUUCUCACCACAAGGCUGCCGGGUGUGCAGAUGUGAGGAUUAUUUCAAUGGUGAAGAAGCAUCCUGAGAGGUUACGUAGUUCAACUAAUGUCACACCAAGAGCAGGAGAGCAUCUGGGCAUUUGGACAUGGAAGGUGUGGGGCACAAGCAUCUCAUGGCCAGGGAACGGGGGAGGAGCAUCUCAGAGCUGCAUCAGAGUUCAUGCUGGUCCUAGGACAAGAGUCAAGCACACCCUGCUUUCACCAGCUGCUGGUAGCUUUCACUCAGGUUCCCACUUUGGCCACUUAAUUCUCUGAACCUCUACUACAUGAAGAGACUAGAACUUGAUUAGAAAAAAAUGGAAUGACUCUUAAUGAGCAAGUGGAUGAAUAAAUUGUGAUAUUCAUCUUACCUGCUGAUCCUUCAAAGAUCUCUAGUAUCAUCAUGAAAAGAAAUUACUAUAGCAGGCAUUUUUUCUUGCUAUUAAUCUUACAAGAAAUUCUUUCAAUCUACCACCAUUGCUAGUUUGCCGAGAGGUUGUUUUGUGUUUUGUUUUCA
rnacentral:lncRNA from 1 species